rnacentral:tRNA from 1 species
GAGGGCUUAGUUAAAUUAUAACAUUACCUUGUCAGGGCAAAAUUGCUAGCGAAACUCUUGCAUCCCUCU